GCCUCGAUGGUGCAGUGGUAGCACGCGCCCACGGUAUGGGUGAAACGCAGGUUCAGCUCCCGUCUGAGGUU